GGGGACGUUGCAUAGCUGGUUCAAUGCGCCAGAUUGUCGAUCUGGAGAUCGCGGGUUCGAACCCCGUCGUCCCCGCCA
rnacentral:tRNA from 1 species